CUUCAAUGCAAGGCAUUGUGGGUUGUUUCCAAGAACAGGAGGAAGAGAAGAAAGAGAAUGGAACCAGGAUGUGGCUUGAGACUUCAGGUGGAAGAGGUGGAGGAUAAUCCUGCAGAGCUGUAUUUAAGGAGGAAGCUGGGAAACCAAGGCAAAGUUCAAAGACAACAUAGUUAGAAGCACAAUUCUGGGGGCCUCCAGUCAGAAGUGGGACCAUGUCAAGGGUCAAGGUGGG
rnacentral:lncRNA from 1 species